CGACUGUGACAUCAUAAUCUUACCUGCAGAGAAAUUUUUUUUUCUAAGAAGGCGGCAUUUGGUUAAAGGGAGACUGACAGAUGGUCAUGUUCCAAUAAGGAAGCUCCAUCCUUGCUGGGCUAGUCAUGCUCUGCCUUUUCCCAGAAAUCAGUGCUUCUUUCUAACAUCUCCAACAGGUGUACCUUGUCUUGUAUGCCAUAGUGAAAGGAAGUACUUAUCAGGGCUCUCUGCACAGGAGCCAGUGGGGGGAGGCAAAGCACAGAUGGUGGCAAUGUGGGAAAUUCAGUAAUCGGGGGGGGGAUUCCACAGCCAGAGAAGUACAACAAAUAGAAGAUGCCGAUCACCACGCUCAUCUCCCCAUCCCUCUCUUCUGCGCUGCAAGACUCGCAGGAAAUUAUGAAGGUUUGAGUCUGUGGUGAACCUGAUCUCAACUAUUCAGUAAUCUAUGGCUGGGAUUCAGGGACAUUGAUACAGCUGGUCCUCCCUUUUCUAAAAGAUCUCUUUUGAAGCACACUGAUGAAGGCCAGAAGAAUAGAUAGACCCUGAAGUGCAGACAUUCUGUGAAUCACUGAUUCCAAUUGCAUGUGAUGCCACACCUACCAGUGGACAAUUCUGAAUGCUGCCUAUAAAAUGUAGGAUAGCUUCUCUGCUUCUAUGAGGUUUCCAAA